UUGUUACAAGGCCGCCCACCUCCUCCCGGGCCGCUUUGUCCGACUGGCAGCACUCCUCCUCCCAAGUUGUCAGUCAUAAUCGAAAGCCCGGUGCACCUCCUCCCGCACCGGGUUUUUUCG
rnacentral:sRNA from 1 species